UACGGAGGGUGCUAGCGUUGUUCGGAAUUACUGGGCGUAAAGGGCGCGUAGGCGGCCCUGUCAGUCGGGUGUGAAAGCCCGGGGCUCAACCCCGGAACGGCACCCGAGACGGCGGGGCUGGAGACCGGGAGAGGAGGGUGGAAUAGCCAGUGUAGAGGUGAAAUUCGUAGAUAUUGGCUGGAACACCGGUGGCGAAAGCGGCUCUCUGGCCCGGUUCUGACGCUGAGGCGCGAAAGCGUGGGGAGCAAACAGG
rnacentral:rRNA from 1 species